UACGUAGGUGACGAGCGUUAUCCGGAAUUACUGGGCGUAAAGCGCACGCAAGCGGUUGGACAAGUCUGGCGUGAAAUCUCCUGGCUUAACUAGGAGCGGUCGCUGGAAACUGUUCGGCUUGAGGCGAUGAGAGGGGUGCAGAAUUCCCGGUGUAGUGGUGGAAUGCGUAGAGAUCGGGAGGAACAUCCGUGGCGAAGGCGACUACCUGGACCAGCACUGACACUGAGGCACGAAAGCGUGGGGAGCAAACAGG
rnacentral:rRNA from 1 species